rnacentral:rRNA from 1 species
GUAGGUGGCAAGCGUUGUCCGGAAUUAUUGGGGCGUAAAGCGCGCGCAGGCGGUUCUUUAAGUCUGAUGUGAAAGCCCACGGCUCAACCGUGGAGGGUCAUUGGAAACUGGAGAACUUGAGUACAGAAGAGGAAAGCGGAAUUCCACGUGUAGCGGUGAAAUGCGUAGCGAUGUGGAGGAACACCAGUGGCGAAGGCGGCUUUCUGGUCUGUAACUGACGCUGAGGCGCGAAAGCGUGGGGAGCAAACAGGAUUAGAUACCCUGGUAGUCCACGCCGUAAACGAUGAGUGCUAAGUGUUAGGGGGGUUUCCGCCCCUUAGUGCUGCAGCUAACGCAUUAAGCACUCCGCCUGGGGAGUACGGCCGCGAGGCUG